rnacentral:snRNA from 1 species
GUGCUCGCUUUGGCAGCAUAUGUACUAAAAUUGGAAUGAUACAGAGAUUAGCAUGGCUCCUGUGCAAGGAUAACACCAAUUCCAAAGCAUUCCAUAUAAGAAAU